GGGAAUCGUGCUGCAUGCCUACCAUGCAGUCGAGCGGCACACACGGGAGAUCUUGCUCUCUUGUCGGCGAGUGGCGGACGGGUGAGUAAUGUAUCAGAUGGUGGCCAGUAUGGGGGGAUAACUACUCACAAGAGUGGCUAAUACCGCGUACGCCCUCCCGGGGGAAGGGGGGGAUCACAACACCUCCCGCUGUGGAGCGGCCUAGAUCGGAUUAGCUAGUUGGUGGGGUAAAGGCUCCGGCUGCCCGAUCCCUAUGUGGUUUGAGAGGACGACCAGUGACACUGGGACUGAGACUGACCCACGACUCCUAAGGGAGGGGCAGGGGGGAAUUUUGGUCUUGGGGGAAACCCUGAUCCUGACAUCCCGCGUGUAUGAUGAAGGCCUUCGGGUUGUGAGUACUUUUUCUGUUGAAAAGGAGUAUCCCCUAAUACGGGAUACUGCUGACCUUAUCUGCACAAAAAGCACCGGCUAACUCUAUGUCCGUGCCCGCGGUAAUACGUAUGGUGCAGGCGUUAAUCUUAAUUACUGGUCGUGAAGCGUGUGGGCGCGGUUGCGAAAGAAAGAUGUGAAAUCCCAAGCCUCAACCUUGGCACUGCAUUUUUAACUGCCAAGCUAGAGUAUGUAGUGGGGGGGUAGAAUUCCAAUUGUACGUGUGAAAUGCGAAAUAUAUGUGGAUGAAUACCGAUGGCGAUGGCGACCCCUCUCUCAGGUCUGACACUGACACUGAGGAGCGUGAGGAGCGAACAGCGAAUAGAUACCCUGACCCUCCACACCCCAAACGAUAUCGAUAACUGCUGGGUGUUAUGGGGCUUCCGCCCCGCAGCUGACGCGCUAACUUGACCGCCUCUCCAGCAGGGGCGCACGAUUAAAACUCAAAGAAUCAGACGGAGUCCCGCACACCCGCUGGAUGAUGUGGAUUUUGUUGUUUGAAUCGCAAAAACCUUACAACCCUAUGUCAUGUCUGACAACCUCUAAAAAUCUAGACGAUGCUGUUAUGACAUCGGAACACAGUGACUGGAUGGUUGUCGUCAUCUCCCUGUCGUGAGAUGGUGAGAUUUAGUCUCACAUCCAGCACAACCCGUGAUCAUAGUGCCUACUGCAGCAGCCAUUCUAAUGAGACUGCAGUACCAUCCGAUGACAGAGGAUGAGCGUAGUCCUCACUGCCCCUGAUCGUGAGCGCCUUCGACCUGCAUCACUGGC
rnacentral:rRNA from 1 species